rnacentral:piRNA from 1 species
GUUAAAUUGUGGUCCAGACAGUG